rnacentral:rRNA from 1 species
GAUGAACGCUGGCGGCGUGCCUAAUACAUGCAAGUCGAGCGAACGGACGAGAAGCUUGCUUCUCUGAUGUUAGCGGCGGACGGGUGAGUAACACGUGGAUAACCUACCUAUAAGACUGGGAUAACUUCGGGAAACCGGAGCUAAUACCGGAUAAUAUUUUGAACCGCAUGGUUCAAAAGUGAAAGACGGUCUUGCUGUCACUUAUAGAUGGAUCCGCGCUGCGUUAGCUAGUUGGUAAGGUAACGGCUUACCAAGGCAACGAUGCAUAGCCGACCUGAGGGGGUGAUCGGCCACACUGGAACUGAGACACGGUCCAGACUCCUACGGGAGGCAGCAGUAGGGAAUCUUCCGCAAUGGGCGAAAGCCUGACGGAGCAACGCCGCGUGAGUGAUGAAGGUCUUCGGAUCGUAAAACUCUGUUAUUAGGGAAGAACAUAUGUGUAAGUAACUGUGCACAUCUUGACGGUACCUAAUCAGAAAGCCACGGCUAACUACGUG